UGUCUCAAAGAUUAAGCCAUGCAUGUCUAAGUGCAGCCUUAUUAUAUGGUGAAACCGCGAAUGGCUCAUUAAAUCAGUUAUAAUUUACUAGAAAAUGAUGAUAUACUUGGAUAACUGUGGUAAUUCUAGAGCUAAUACAUGCUUGACAGCGCUGGAAACCCUGGUGCUAGCAUUUGUUAGACAACGUCCACCGGUAUUCCUCUGCGGGGUGUUUACCGGCUUGUCAGAUGGUGAUGACUCUGUACAACUUUGCCGAUCGCUUACGCUCAAGUAGCGGCGAUAGUUCUUUCAAGUGUCUGCUCUAUCAACUGUCGAUGGUAGGUUAUGUGCCUACCAUGGUGAUAACGGGUAACGGAGAAUCAGGGUUCGAUUCCGGAGAGGGAGCCUGAGAAACGGCUACCACAUCCAAGGAAGGCAGCAGGCGCGUAACUUACCCAAUCCCGGAACGGGGAGGUAGUGACGAAAAAUAACAAUACGGGACUCGUAUGAGGCUCCGUAAUUGGAAUGAAUAGACUCUAAAUCCUUUUAUGAGGAUCAAUUGGAGGGNAAGUCUGGUGCCAGCAACCGCGGUAACUCCAGCUCCAAUAGCAUAUAUUAAAAUUGCUGCGGUUAAAAAGCUCGUAGUUGAAGCCUGGUGCUCUGAGGAAUAAACGNUGCAUUUAGUGUGUAGCGUCUCCUGCUGAGUACAUCCGGGACGGCUGUCUGUCGUGUUCUUUAUUGAAUGCUUCGGGUGGCCGUCAAAUUCACUCUGAUAAAAUUAGGGUGCUUAAAGCUGGCUUGUGCCAAGAUAUUAUUGCAUGGAAUGAUGGAAGAGGUUGUUGUUCCGUCUGUGGCCUUGGAAUUGACAUAAUGACCAAUAGAAACUGACGGGGGCAUUUGUACUGCGGCGCUAGAGGUGAAAUUCUUGGACCGUCGCAAGACAAACUAUAGCGAAAGCAUUUGCCAAGAAUGUUUUCAUUGAUCAAGAACGAAAGUUAGAGGUUCGAAAGUGAUCAGAUACCGCUUUAGUUCUAACUAUAAACGAUGCCAACUAGCAAUCCGUAGGCGUUAUUUUUUCGACUCUACGGGCAGCUCCGGAAAACCAAAGUGGGGUUUCGGGGGAAGUAUGGUUGCAAGGCUGAAACUUAAAGGAAUUGACGGAAGGGAACCACAAGACGUGGAGCAUGCGGUUCAAUUAGACUCAACACUGGAGGACCUUACUCGGCCCGGACACCAAAAGGAUUGACAGAUUGAGAGCUCUUUCUUGAUAUGGUGGAUGGUGGUGCAUGGCCGCUCUUAGUUGGUGGAUUGGUCUGUCUGCUUAAUUGCGAUAACGGACGUGACUCGAACCUAUUAACUAGAGGCAAUAUUGAGAAGUCCAUGAUUGCUUAAGCUUCUUAAAGGGAUAACUUGCUUUUAGCAAGAAGAAAGAGAGCAAUAGCAGGUCUGUAAUGCCCCUAGAUGUCCGGGGCCACACGCGCGCUACAAUGAAAUGGUAAGCGUGUCGAAUCCUGGUUUGAAAAAACUGGGUAACCACAUUAACUCGUUUCAUGCUUGGAAUUGAGAUUUGAAAUUGUUUCUCAUGAACGAGGAAUGUCAAGUAAGCUCCAGUCAUUAGCUGGAGUUGAUUACGUCCCUGCCCUUUGUGCACACCGCCCGUCGCUAUUACUGAUUGAAUAGUUUAGUGAGGUUUUCUAAUCGGUUGCUUGUGUCACCUUCGGUGAUACUCGUAGCUGAGACGAUGCCCUAACUAGAUUAUUAAGAAGAAAUAAAAGUCGUAACAAGGUUUCCGUAGGUGACCU
rnacentral:rRNA from 1 species